UACGUAGGGUGCGAGCGUUAAUCGGAAUUACUGGGCGUAAAGUGUGCGCAGGCGGCCGAGCAAGUCGAGUGUGAAAGCCCCGAGCUUAACUUGGGAACUGCGCUCGAAACUACUUGGCUAGAGUGUGGCAGAGGGAGGUGGAAUUCCACGUGUAGCGGUGAAAUGCGUAGAGAUGUGGAGGAACACCGAUGGCGAAGGCAGCCUCCUGGGCCAACACUGACGCUCAUGCACGAAAGCGUGGGGAGCAAAAGGG
rnacentral:rRNA from 1 species